rnacentral:rRNA from 1 species
GACGAACGCUGGCGGCGUGCCUAAUACAUGCAAGUCGAACGAGAGGCGGACGGGUGAGUAAUGUAUGGGCAUCUGCCUAAUAGAGGGGGAUAACGACGGGAAAAGGUGGCUAAUACCGCAUACUAUCGGAUGAGCCCACGUGGGAUUAGCUAGUAGGUGGGGUAAAGGCUCACCGAGGCGACGAUCCCUAGCUGGUCUGAGAGGAUGAUCAGCCACACUGGGACUGAGACACGGCCCAGACUCCUACGGGAGGCAGCAGUGGGGAAUAUUGCACAAUGGGCGCAAGCCUGACCCAGCCAUGCCGCGUGUAUGAAGAAGGUCUUCGGGUUGUAAAGUACUUUCGGUGGGGAGGCGUUACCUACAGAAGAAGCACCGGCUAACUCCGUGCCAGCAGCCGCGGUAAUAC